UCUGGAUGUGAUUGGCCAAAUCAACAAUGACUUCCUGUUAGUCUACUCAUGUCCCUGUUGUCUGUGGUCCCUUGGCGCUGAUUUCCACUACAAAAAGCAAAGUAGCCUGAGUGGUUCAGUGCUGCACGGAUCAGCCAUAAUCUCAGCCCUGUGAUAGACUGGUGACCUGUCCAGGGUGUCCCCUGCCUUUGCCUCAAGUCAGCUGGGAUAGACUCCAGUGACCCUAAUGAGGAUUAAACGGUGUAUAGAUGAUGGAUGGAUGGAAAUGGACCACAGGUUGCUGCAUGUUUGUUAUUGUGAAAGCUUCUCCUGCAGGUGUCACUGUUUCAUCACAAAUUAAACCUGGUUUCAUGGACCUUACACCUUUUCACCAACAUUGUAAAACUUUAUUCAAGGAUCGCACAGUAUUCAUUCCUUAGCUGCAAUAAAGAGACGUAUUCAUCUGUGUGUGUUUAUUUCAAGGGAGUCAAAUUAGGCUUGUAACUAAACCUCUAAAUAGGAGCUACUUUCUUUACAAAAUCCCUAACUGUUAGUGCCACCUGAAGUCUUUGCGGCACAGAUCCAAACACCAAGAACUCAUGUUCAUCAUUACCACAUUAAACGGUUUACGUACUUAAAGCAUUAGAGUGCAUUUCAAGAAGCAUGCCAAGUUGAUUCAUCUUAAACUCAUAUCUUUCUUGGACAAAAUCAGUUUGCAUGAUUAUUUGCUUACAGAACACAGCACGUUCAGUCGAGCAGAGCUAAUGCCUUGGAAUCAAUGCAACCACACUUUUAAACAUGUGGUGACCAUUUUGCUAAAAUAAUUGAGCCAUUAAGCUGCUGGAUUGUUUGUACUCUGGUGAUAAAUGACAAAGCUCUGCUGCAUUCUUUCCUGUGUGAUCAUCAACAAUAUGCUAGGUCUCUGCUGACCCAAAAGCUAAAGGUAAACAUUCUUUGUUCUCCUUUUGUGUGGUCCCAUGAGGCUCAAAACAUCCUUACAAUAAGGUGUUUGGAUUUUGAUAAUGUGAAAAGGUGAGAGUAAUGUAUGCAUACCAACAAGUAUGAGAACAGAGACUAAUGGUGGCUGUGAAUUGAACAGAGCUGCAGUCACUGCAUUAGAGGUGUUUGAUCUGCAGCUUUGAAAAAUGUCUCAUUAAAUUUGAUAUUUGGCUA